GACGAACGCUGGCGGCGUGCCUAACACAUGCAAGUCGAGCGGGGUUGAAGCGAGGGGUAACUCGAGUUUCUACCUAGCGGCGGACGGGUGAGUAACGCGUGGGCAACCUGCCUCAAGGACUGGGAUAACAGCUCGAAAGGGCUGCUAAUACCGGAUAAGCCUAUGGCCUCGCAUGGGGCCAUGAGCAAAGGGGAAACCCGCCUUGAGAUGGGCCCGCGUCCCAUCAGCUAGUUGGUGAGGUGAAGGCUCACCAAGGCGACGACGGGUAGCCGGCCUGAGAGGGUGACCGGCCACACUGGGACUGAGACACGGCCCAGACUCCUACGGGGGGCAGCAGUGGGGAAUCUUGCACAAUGGGCGAAAGCCUGAUGCAGCGACGCCGCGUGAGCGAAGAAGGCCUUCGGUUGUAAAGCUCUGUCUGGAGGGACGAAGGAAGUGACGGUACCUCCGGAGGAAGCCACGGCUAACUACGUGCCAGCAGCCGCGGUAAUCGAUACUCGUA
rnacentral:rRNA from 1 species